CAAGAAUUAGAAUACGAGCUGCAGAACACGAUUCGUUUGCUAGGGAAUUGAAUGACAAAAUUUUGGGAUUUCCCAAGUGAGAUACAGAGCUGCGAGGUAGGGAGAGAUACAGAGGGAAAGAGUACAGAGAGAGAUUGUCAAGGGCAGACAUGAUCGAUGACAUAAUCCACUUAUACAUAAAUGGUUGUACGUGAUGGGAACUUGUUGAAGAAAUUUGCAGUGGCUGCAGUAUUGGAUUUCUGUAGCCGACUGCAAUACCUGUUUGUUUCAUGGAAGCUUAACAGUUGAGCUCACGAGAUUUGUAUCUUGAAGGGAGAUUAUUGAAAUGUUUGGGCGACUUCCUUCUGGAAAUUUGAAUUGCCGUCCUUUCAGUUAUUCGAUACAGAUUCUUAAAUUACAUGGUUGAAGAAUUGAAAGGAGCCAACCAUGAACGAAG